rnacentral:snRNA from 1 species
GUGUUUGCUUCGGUAGCUCAUAUACUAAAAAACUGGAAUGAUACAGAGAAGGUUAGCAUGGCCCCUGUGCAAAUAUGACAUGCAAAUUCGUGAAGUGUUCCAUAUUAAU